rnacentral:lncRNA from 12 species
AUGAGUCAAAGAAGUAGAAUAUGGACAGAAAUGGCGGCUACAUCCUCUUUAACACAAGACAGAAUGACAAAAGCCAAGAAGUUCAAUAAAAAUUACAUGUUGCUAUGGAAACAUGAAAAAUCACAGAUACCUGCUCUACUCAGAGGUAGAUAUUUUUGCUCUGCUCAGCAAAAGAGACAUUUUGGCCAAUGCCAAAUUCAACCGAUCUGAAUUCAAUGGUGGAAAUUUGCAAUUAAAGAUGGGGAAAGAUGACUGAUAGGAAUACAGCUCUACAAAAGGAAGGACAUGGAGAUACAUAAGGAAGAAAUUCCCAUUUCCUGCUCCAGAUUCAGAACGAGAUUAUUGGCAAGAAAUCAUUAUUCUAAAAAAUAUCUAUCACAUCUGAAGGUUUGGAGUCAUUUUUCUGUUGCUUUUGAAAGCAAUAACAUUUAACAGAGGGCAUGAAGAUGUG